rnacentral:rRNA from 1 species
UACGUAGGGGGCAAGCGUUGUCCGGAAUCAUUGGGCGUAAAGCGCGUGUAGGCGGCUGACUAAGUCCGCUCUGAAAGCCCGGGGCUCAACCCCGGGAGGCGGGUGGAUACUGGUCAGCUCGAGUCCGGAAGAGGAGUGUGGAAUUCCUGGUGUAGCGGUGGAAUGCGCAGAUAUCAGGAGGAACACCGGUGGCGAAGGCGGGUCUCUGGGCCGUUACUGACGCUGAGGAGCGAAAGCGUGGGGAGCGAACAGG